rnacentral:SRP_RNA from 1 species
GCCCGGUGUGGUGGCGCUGCCUGUAGUCCCAGCUACUCGGGAGGCUGAGGUGGGAGGAUCGUUUGUGCCCAGGAGUUCUGGACUGCAGUGCGCUAUGCCAAUUGGGUGUCUGCACUGAGUUCGGCAUCAAUAUGGUGACCUCCCGGGAGCCGGGACCAGCCCAGGUCGGAAAUGGAGCAGGUCAAAACUCCCAUGCUGAUCAGUAGUGGGUUUGUGCCUGUGAAUAGCUGCUGCACUCCAGCCUGGGCAACAUAGCGAGACCCGUCUCU